rnacentral:lncRNA from 1 species
UCAGUGAGGAGAAGAAGCCACCUUGGUACCAUCAGAGCUGCAGAUCAUGGGAAUUUGUCCGGCUCCCCAGAGGCACCCAGAUGCUGGGGUGAUCCACACAAUAUCACUCACAACCUGUGAUUCUUUAAGGUUGUCUCCCCACAGAACAGCAGCCGCUGCCACUGCAGAGUGCCACAGAAUGGACCAAAGACAAAGGCCAAGGUGGAGGAUAAAAUCGUCUCCACCCCUGCUUGCCUGGGGCCUCAGCUGAGCAUCAUUGUUGGAAUAACUCAACCAAUGUUGAUGUGAUACCACUGGCAGCUCUUCCUUGGGUCUGAAAAAUCUGUGGCAAACAAGCUUCCUAACACGAACUUAUCUCCUCAGUGCUCACGGUUAAAACAAGUUUUCCCAAAAAAUUAAUGAGUAUUUCCAUAAGGGAUGAAAAUAUUUUAAAAACUUGAAUCACACUUCAAGACAAAAGCCUGAAGAUGGAGCUUUGAGUCCUGACUCCCUGCCUGAGGUUCUCAUCUGUGGAAUGUUCCAGCAGUUGCAUCCAUCUUCCUGUUUUCUGUAUGGUUGCUUGUCCCCUAAGUGAACACAUUUACCUCUUCUACAGAAAGUCCUGGAUUGAAAGAAGCUGUUUUGGGGGACCUGAGCUGUCACCACUUGUUUCCUCAGAGAGAUUUGGCAGAAGGGGUGGCUGUGUAGCCCUGUCCUCCCCCUGCUCCUCAGCAAAACCUUCUGGGAGAGGCUUUCCCCAGGGAAGGAGGAGGAAUGCUCUUCCCGCGAGGGUGGCAAACGGCAGCCGAGCCUCCUGGUUAGAGCUUCCAACAAACUCUCAGUGCCCAACUGUGGGGGAUUUCUUCAAGGCAAAACAGAAACAGUUAAUUCAGAAAUCUCUGUGCUUUUAUGCUGAUUUUGUUACUUAAGUUGCUUUAAUACCUGUAUGAAAGCAGAAUAUAAAAUUAGCAAAUGGACUUUUCUAAAUCAUUUCAUUUUCUUUCAAAAAUAACUUAAAAAAUUUUUUUUUUACCUGAAGUGAUCAACAUUGUACGUUCUGAAAGUGUAAAGGGACUGAAAAGACAGGCUGAAAAAUAAAGUAAGAAGAAGAUUGUACAACAUUUCUAGCUGCCUUUUUUUCCUUUGAUAAGGGAACCCAUGCAGUCAGCUAAGAGCUGCCACCAAGAUCAAGGCCCUGCAGGGCACCGAUGAGCAGGAUCACCGGGAGCGCUGUGUUUACAGGGAUUUCAUUUUUCAUUUUGAAGGGUUGCCACGUCACUUUCCCAAGUUUUGCGGGGCAGAGUGAGGCUUCAUCAAGACAUGCAUCCAUGGACUGGGCGAAAUUCCAGUGUCCAUUAUUUCCUGGGGAAAGCGUGUAAGAGGCUCUCUCUAUCGCUCUUCUUACUUCUGCAUCCCCCAGAACACACAUACACAGUCACAGUCACACAUGUUUGCACCAAACACGGCCUCACUCUCACAAGACACUCACGAAGGUACGUUGACAGUCUCACAGGGUCACAAACAUGCACUAGAAAUCUGACACACACACACACACAUCCAAUCUCUCUCUGACACACACACACUAUCUCACACACACAUGCUCCUCUGCUCUGCUGAGUCAUCAGUCUUGGAUCUCAGCCUCAGCACGUGUGGGGCCUGCCCUGUGGGAGGCUGUUGAACACAGAGGGAAGCUGAGGUUGCACUGUCCACCUCCUCAUUACCAUAAUGAUUGCGUUCAGCAUCCUUCAUCAGCACAGGAGCACUAAGGGUUGGAGAGGACGUGCAUCACCUUUACUCGCACAGCUGCUCACAUCGGGCACUUGAGACGUGUAUUUGCUGGGACACUUGGGAGUGAAAUGGCUUGUGGAAUUUAGUCUCGUGUCAGUCUUCAGCUUUAAGUUUCAAGCGAUCCUGCUCUGGGAAUAAAUAUUGAGUACGACGUAGAAAACAGCUUUUCUUCAAGGACCUCUGAAAGCCAUGUAAGCACCAUUCUUUGAUAAACAUUCUCAUCCCAACUGAUGGAGGGAAAAGCCAGGAACAGGGUCCCAGGGAGGCCAAAGGGGUUCCCGACUGGGAAUGAGAAGCCAUCCCUUCAGGACUCUGCUGUGCCCCGACAGCAGGCACAGGAGGCGUGGUCCCUGCCUUUCCCCCACCUCACCUGCCCUUUCCCGCUGGAGUAAAUGGGAAGAGAGCUCUGCUCAAGCCUCAGCCUCCAGGACUCUCCAUCAUACCAGCUGCCUCAGGCAAAUUAAGCACAGCAAAUGCUGCUCUGUUCAGGGCUCCUCCCUGUUUAUUGCAAGACGGUGGUUCUCAAACCUGACCUUCUGGGACACUUAACGAUUACCCUUGACUUUUGAAUCUCUCCAUGAUAUCUGAUAACAGUCGAGUGUGGAUUUCUUGGUGAAGUGAGGUCUCUCCCUCCACCUUUGCCCAUGGAAUUGAGUGACGGUCACCCCUCAUUGACUCUGCGGAGAGCUGGUGCCUCCUACAGCAGAACAAGCAGGAAAUAGCGCAGCAGAGAGCAUCUUACAAGCCAGAGGGGCAGCAGAGGCAGCACGGGGCAGAGCUGGGCGGUGAGGAAACUGAGCAUCAGCUGCUGGAGCAGCUGCCGUGAGGGAACUGGCUGGGUUUAUCUCAAGAGGCUGUGCUGCUGGGGCCGACCAUUGGUGGGAGGUCCCAUGCUCACCGGGACAUAAGGCCGCCUGUGCACGAACCGUGUGGCAGCUGGCGUCCUUUGUUUCAACAAACAGAACUGCAUUUCCAACUAAAAAACCCAAGUGUGAAAUUUGUAGACACCGUGUAUCAGAGGGAAGAACUUGAGAAGAUUAACUAAACUUCUGGAACCUCAACCGCUCUCCCUUGUGCACCUCACGCCUCGAUGAGAUGAUGAAAUGUGAUACCGCGCAUAUCGAUGGUGGGAAAAAUGUUACGUGUCAUUCAGAGCAUUUGUCAGACGUUUAUUAAAGUCUCGUUUCAGGUUUGGAGGGUACUAUUUAGAAGUCUUAAUUUCCGAAUUGGAUCCUAUAAUUAUCUCAGGGUUUAAUAACACGUCAAAAGCAUAGCAGAGAAGGGAAAAAGAGUAUAAUUUUGCCUGCUCAUAUGAGGAACUAUUUAUUGAUUUCCCUUGGGGUCCUGAGCAGAAGGAGCUGUGUUAAGAAAUACUUUGGCUCGAAGUACCCAGCUGUGUAAGUGGUUUUGGGUGUGGACUCUUACGGCCAUGGUCCUAAAUGAUUCAAAUUGUAAGGUGGCAGGCAGAAGUCACACUUUUCUGAUAAAUGUUAAACUUAGUUACCUUCAUUAUAUCAACAUCAUCAAAAUCAAUUGUGUGUCUGUUUGUUUAUUGUGGUGGAGGCUGCUCUAGAGCUGCAGCCACAUCAUGGGAUCUCUGCUACCCCAGCUCUCCCGCACAUUCCAGGCUUAGAGACACAUGGAAUAAGUGAAUGAUGAACAAGUGAAAUCAGCAACAUUCAGCCCAAUCAUGAUCAACUGGUCUCUCA